rnacentral:rRNA from 1 species
AUGUGCUUGUCCAUCCUGCCCCGCCGGAUCAGUGCCGGGUCCAGCUUCUCCUUGUAGUUGGUGGUGAAGAUGAUGAUCCGCUCGCCGCCGCACGCAGACCACAGCCCGUCGAUGAAGUUGAGCAGGCCAGAGAGCGUCACAUUGGCCGCGUCAUCCUUCUCUGGCUCGAUUGAGUCCUUGUCGCGAGAGGCCUUCUUGUCCUUGCGGCGUUUUCCGGUGAGGUCGGCGGAGCAGUCAAUGUCCUCUAUGACGAUGAUGGACUUGCCCGUCGUCUCGAUGAAGAGCUUCCGCAACUCGGUGUUGUUGUUGAUGGCCGUGAGCUCGAGGUCGUAG